CCCUUAGAUGUUCUGGGCUGCACACGUGCUACACUGGCAGGUUCAGCGAGCUUCAUGCCCUGAUCUGAAAGGAAUGGGAAAUCUUUUCAAAACCUGCCGUGCUUGGGAUAGAUGUUUGCAAUUAUUCAUCUUCAACGAGGAUUGCCUUGUAAGCGCACGUCAUCAGCGUGCAUUGAAUACGACCCUGUAUUCUGUACACACCGCCCGUCGCUCCUACCGAUUGAAGUUUUCGGUGAGUUGACAGGAGGAUUUUUUUGAAACUGGUUCGCCAGUGGAUUUUAGAUCCAAAUGCCACCGAAUCGAUGGCUUUAGAGGAAGGAGAAGUCGUAACA
rnacentral:rRNA from 1 species